rnacentral:tRNA from 1 species
GGGGAUUUAGCUCAGUGGUAGAGCGCUUGCCUAGCAAGCACAAGACCCUGGGUCCGGUCCCCAGCUCCG